GACGUUCCCCUCCGCUCGCUCGACCCUCCCUAAUCGUGUUCCCAUCUGCACGCCCGCGCCUUUGGCGUUCCCCGCCGCACGUCCUCCUGCGGAUGCGGCAGGGCAUCUUGGAGCUGCGGAUGGAGGCGGGGUGUUGCGCCUUGGGCCGGCGGACGGGACUGGUUGCGGUGGGGUCUGGGGGCGGCGUGAGCUAUGAGCGGCGGGAACCGGUGGAGGCCGGGGUGGGAGCUGCAUCAUCGGCAAUCAGCGGCGGCGCCAUGGUUUCGGCCUCCCCUUCCUCUUGGUGGCUGCUCGUCCAUUCAACGCCUUCCCCCACGCUAGCGCCCCCUGUUGCCUCCUAUUCGAAUCGGAAGCGAACGACUGGGAGUGGAGGCGGUGCCCCGUAGCCUCGUAUCCGAAUAAAAAGCGAAUCUCCGAGAUAUCUGAAAAUUGCUGGGUCAUCUCCAACGUGUUGUCGCCGAGACGUUCCUCGCCGUAGACGAAGUCACGAAGUUGUCGGCUUUGUGUCCUCUCGUGCCGCACCUUUGCCGUCACCAGUAGCACUGAGAUUUCCUGCACCAACACCCUGCUGUUUCAGCUUCUUAACUACGUACUGCACACAAGAUGAGACAUCUAGAGACUACUACAGAGAACUCACCGAGGAAAGGAAUAUUGGCUUUCAAAAAGAGGAUUUGAAACUCAUUGACACAUUGAAUGCCGAACAAAUGGCCGAGUAUAAUGAGAUUCUAGAUCAUGUGCUCAACCAUAAAGGAAAUGUCUUUUUUUUGUUGAUGGCCCUGGUGGAACUGGUAAGACCUACCUUUAUAGGGCAUUGCUGGCAAAAGUUCGAUCGAUGGGUAUUAUUGCCGUUGCUACUGCGACAUCUGGAAUUGCAGCCUCUAUUAUGCUGGGUGGUCGUACUGCACACUCUAGAUUCAAAAUCCCAAUAAAGCUUUGUGAAAACUCCAUUUGUAACUUCACAAAACAGAGCGGAACCGCUGCAUUGUUGCGCACAUCAUCACUGAUUAUAUGGGAUGAAGUGGCCAUGACACGAAGACAAGCAGUGGAAACUCUAGAUAGAUCUUUGCAGGACAUAAUGGAAUGCAAUCAACCUUUUGGUGGUAAGGUAAUGGUAUUUGGAGGGAAUUUUAGACAAGUCCUUCCAGUUGUGCCUCGUGGCACUAGGGCACAAAUUACCGAUGCCACGCUUCAGCGGUCAUACAUAUGGGAGAAGGUGCAUAAAGUACAACUUCAGUAGAACAUGAGAGCGCAAGGCGAUGCGUGGUAUUCUGAUUUUUUGCUUAGGAUUGAAAAUGGGACUGAGGUAACAUAUACAAAUGAUUACAUGCAGCUGCCAGAUGAAAUUGUUAUAGAGUAUGAAUCAGAGAAUUCGAUUGACACUCUCAUAGAGCAUGUGUUCCCUGAUUUGGAAAAAAAAUUGGACAUCUGCAUCUUAUAUGCGUGAACGUGCUAUUUUGUCAACAAGGAAUGAGCAUGUUGAUGGACUAAAUGCUAGGAUGAUUGAUAUAUUUUCUGGCAAAGAAAAGGUGUUCUACAGCCAUGACUCUGUUGAUGAUGACUCAAACAAUAAUUAUCCUCUGGAUUUUCUCAACUCAAUCACACCAAAUGGGCUACCGCCUCACGAGCUGAGGAUAAAAAAAAAUUGUCCGGUUAUUCUCCUGUGAAAUCUUGACCCUCACAACGGUCUGUGUAAUUGUACUCGUUUGGUGGUGAAAGGUUUCGACGAUAAUGCAAUUGAUGCUGAGAUUGUCAAUGGUCAACAUGCUGGGAAAAGGAUUUUCAUUCCUAGGAUACCGCUAUGCCCAUCGGAGGACAUUACACUUCCUUUCAAGUUCAAAAGGAAACAAUUCCCAAUUAGAUAAUUCCCUAGACAAUUCCCCCUUACCUCUCACAAUGGACCCACAAGGGCAAACUUUGUUGAUUCUGUAAUUUAUGUAUGUGUUGAAGGCAAAGAAAACAUUGACCCAGCAGAACGAAUACGGCAAAAGAAAAGAGAAAAAUAUGCCAGUUUGACAGAGGAGGAGAAGGAGAAGAAGCGUGCAAAGGCAAGAGAAAAUUAUCAGCGUAGGAAGGCCACUAAAGGAAAAGAAAUAAUCCCGGAUGGAGCUCUGCUAUAUCAUUUAAGAAAGGGGAAGCAGUUCAAAGUUCUUAAAAAAGAGAUAUUACAGAAUUAACUAAGUCCUCAAACUCAAGGACUACGAGCGGCAAUGGACUGCUAGGGCCUGCUUGCUUCGACCAACACCCCACGGACAGAACAGCGAGCAGCAUCAUCGGCUCAUCGCGACAUCAACGACGCCCUCCAGCACUACGUGGCAGCCAGUCCGACAUCAGCCGCGUUGCCUCGGAGGGCGUCCUCGCCACCGCGACCUCCGCCUUGAUUGAAAGGUAGCCCGAUUCUACGUGAAGCACUUGGCCAGCGGCCGGAUCACCAUCGCUGCCAUUUCAAAGCCUGCAACGUGGGAAAGAAGUCAAAUAAUUUGUAGCCAACAUUUAGGUAAUCACUUCGAGGUUUGGUUUUUGUAUCCUCAUGGAUUGUCGUGUUCCAAUUGAUGAUACGACGAACACAACACUUGGAUGUAAGAGACCAAGGGCAAACUUUGUUGAUUCUGUAAUUUAUGUAUGUGUUGAAGGCAAAGAAAACAUUGACCCAGCAGAACGAAUACGGCAAAAGAAACGAGAAAAAUAUGCCAGUUUGACAGAGGAGGAGAAGGAGAAGAAGCGUGCAAAGGAAAGAGAAAAUUAUCAGCGUAGGAAGGCCACUAAAGGAAAAGAAAUAAUCCUGGAUGGGACAGAUGGUUCUUUGGUCUCUAUUCCGUUUAAUGGGGUCACACAAAUCAUCGAAGCAAGUACAUUACCCGGGAACCAGUUUAAAAGCACUGAGAUUGGAAUUACUUCAUCACGGCCAAUUUCAAGUUUGUGUGUUAUCGAUUAGUAAAUGAGGACGGUCCUACCUAUGCUAAUGACGAUGAUUGGCUCCAUACAUAUGAUAGUUCUACCAUAGGAAAUACAAGAGCAUCAGGUCAAGACUCUGCAGAUGUUGUGCCGAUCGUACAUGAGAUGAACCAUAAGUCAAAAAAAAAUAGCCGACUUGACAGAAGAACAAAAGGAGAAGAAGCGUGCAAAGGCAAGGGAAAACUAUCAUCUUCGGAAGGCUCGAGCUAAAGCAUUGGCCACUCUACCAAUACCUGAUAGGAGUUCUUGUGAUAUUGGUUGCACCGAGGACUCGUCUCCUGAAGAGCGAAAGAGGGAGCGAGAGAGGAGACGAUAUGCUACAUUAUCAGACAUUUCGAAACAAGAUAAGAUUUUCAGGGAUGGCAUGGCUCGUAAAAGAAGGAACAUGCAUACACAAGAUGUUAAUGUUGAUGACACACCUGAAGCUUCUAAACGGGAGCUAGAAAAAUGCAGAUACGCCACUCGGUUGCAAAGAAAAACGGGGUUUUACAAGUGAAUGGCCAUGCUAAUUGUUCAGAUCAGUCAGUGGUACUCCAAAAUACAAAUGGUCCUAUGUCUGCACAUGUGGAUCACAAUCGUUUUGAAUCUGGGAUAUGGGAACCAGAGGACAUAGAUGAUCAAAAUGAAGAGGAAGAUUUGGACUGUGAAAAAACCGAAGAUGUUAUGACAGAUAUUUAUGAUGAUGAUGAGGCUAGGGUGUUCCAUGAUAGGGGUAUACCUAUUCUUUUUUUUUUUGAAACCAGGAAUUUGUCUACAAGACAAACAGAGAUGCAGAUAUUGCAGCACCAUUGUUUGAUCCAUUCGAUAGUGUUUAUAAGGAUCUUCCAAAAGAGCACCAGAGACUUCAAAAAGUGCCCAAUUGUGAGUUUUGCGGUGCAAUAAAAUUUCCUGGUGAAGGCCUUGGUUUUUGUUGCAGACAGGGAAAGGUUAACAUCUUCAUACCAGAUGUCCCUAAUGAAUUGCAACGACUUUUCACAAGCCAAACAGACAAGGAUGCUUUGUACUUCCGGCAGAAUAUUCGUUACUUCAACUCACACUUCUCAUUCACCAGCUUUGGAGCCACAGUUGAUCGUCGUCUAGCUACUGCAGCUGGUACAGGUGUUUAUACUUUCAAAGUGCAUGGGCAAAUAUAUCAUAAGCUAGACCAACUGAGGCCUGGUGGCAAAGGUCCUCGCCAUAUGCAACUAUAUUUUUAUGAUACAGAUGAGAGCAUUGCACACAGAUCAAAGAGAUCUCCCCAUUUAGAUGCUGAUUUAAUUAGGAAUAUACUGGGUAUAUUUCGGAAUAAUCCUUACAUGCACACAUUCAGAAGUCUCGGUCAACUUGAAAAUAUUGAUGAGUACAAAAUCGAGAUGAAUACAAGCAUUUCAGUGGACCAACAACGAUACAAUGCUCCUACAAUGGAGCAAGUUGCAGCUAUAUGGCAAGAGGGUUCUGAUGAGAAGCGUAAAUUUGAUCGAAGUAUAAUGAUAUAUGCAAAUUCUGGGCGUGCACAUUUCAUAAGAGCAUAUUAUGGAUGUUAUGAUCCACUUUCGUAUCCUGUAUUCUAUCCUAAUGUUGAGACUGGUUGGGAAGAUAAAAAGAUUUUGCUAGAAGAGAAGCCAGUUAUUCGUAUUCCAAGGUAGAAGAGGAAAUAUACUAAACGUACAAAGCCAGAUGCUUGUAAGCCACGUGUGGAACAUAACAACAAACAGAAAACAUUGAAGAAUUGACCUAAGGUUGCGUUGGAAGAUCAUGAUGCCUGUGUGGAGAACAAUGAGGAAGAUAUAAAUGGCGACAUCGAUGAUGGAAGCGGGGAUGACAUUGAUGGAGGAAAAUCAUCAUCACGGUUGCAUGUAAGUGCACGUGAGUACUAUUGUUACAUGAUGCAGGUUCGUGAAGGCGUGUUUGUGAUAUUCUUCUAUGGAGGUCGGCUCUUUCAACAGUGGAUUGUUGACAUAUAUAUCAAAAUUGAAUCCAUGCGCUUGGACUGGUACUCAAAUCCUGAACAUCAGAAAAUCAUUAGAGCUGAUCUUUAUCAGGGAAUUCUUGACUCCCUUGCAUCGGGUGAGGUCAGUGGGCAGAGGACUGGAAAACGUUGGUACUAUCAAAGGACUUUCCUGGCAGUGAUAGAGAUGUGAAUUGCAGAUUCAUGGAUGCAAUGGCUUUAGUGGCACGUUAUGGUCGUCCAGAUUACUUUGUCACAAUGACAUGCAACCCCUACUGGCCAGAAAUAUUAGAGCAGCUACUGCCAGGUCAAACACCUCAAGAUAGACCAGAUAUUGUAGCCAGGGUAUAUCAUGCCAAGCUUCUUGAUCUGCAUGACUUCCUAAUUGUCAAAGGCCAUUUUGGAAAGGUGAAAGCAUGGGCACACGUAACAGAGUUCCAGAAAUGGGGUUUACCCCAUGAGCAUUUUUUAUUGAUCAUGGACAGUAGUGCUAAACUAAGUAGUCCUGAUGACUAUGACAAAUACAUAUCUGCUGAGCUUCCAGAUAAAAAAAGCACCCUACCCUGCAUCGACUUGUUUGUAAACACAUGAUGCAUGGUCCAUGUGGGAGUCUCAAUCCUAAAUGUGUGUGUAUGGCGGAUGGUGCAUGUCGUUUCAAGUACCCUCGUCAGUUCUGUGACUCUACACAACAAGGAAAAGAUGCAUACCCUAUAUAUAGAAGACGUGAAGAUGGGCAUAAAGUGUUUAUCAGAAAUAAAUGGUUGGAUAACAGAUGGGUUGUGCCAUAUAAUCCGACACAUCUGAUGAGGUAUAAUUGCCAUAUCAAUGUUGAGGUAUGUUCCAGCAUCAAGGGAGUUAAGUACUUGUAUAAGUAUGUAUACAAGGGAACUGAUUGCGCCUCAUUUGCAGUUGAGAAUAAAAAUGAAAGUGACCCCGUAGUAAUUAAUGAGAUAAAACAAUAUAGAAAGGCAAGGUGCAUUACCGCCAUUGAAGCUAUCUACAAGUUAUAUCGUUUUCCGAUGUACUCUAUGUCGCCACCAGUUUUACAGAUGCAAGUACAUCUUUCUGGAAUGCACAUGGUUCCCUUUAA